CCCUGGGUGGUGCAAACAGGUUAACAUGCUUGGCUGCUAACCAAAAGGUUGGAGGUUCAAGUCCACCCAGAGGCA
rnacentral:tRNA from 1 species